rnacentral:tRNA from 1 species
GGGGAUGUGGUCUAGUGGUAUGACGGAUCCUUAGCAGCACCUUGAGAGGUACUCAAGUCUGGAUCAGGUCCAGGGUUCGAUUCCCUGCAUCUCCA